rnacentral:rRNA from 1 species
UACGUAGGGUGCGAGCGUUGUCCGGAAUUACUGGGCGUAAAGAGCUCGUAGGUGGUUUGUCGCAUUGUUCGUGAAAACUCACAGCUCAACUGUGGGCGUGCGGGCGAUACGGGCAGACUGGAGUACUGCAGGGGAGACUGGAAUCCUGGUGUAGCGGUGGAAUGCGCAGAGUAUCAGGAGGAACACCGGUGGCGAAGGCGGGUCUCUGGGCAGUAACUGACGCUGGAGGAGCGAAAGCGUGGGGAGCGAACAGG